GCCAGUUAUAACUCAAGCCUUUAAAACCAGGCAAGUCACAAUAGGCUCUUCAAACACCUUUCUGACAUAACUAAGGCAAUCAGCCCAUUGCGCCAUAACCAGAAGACAAUAUCUAAUGGCAAUUGCCAUGUAUAGUGUGAAGGCCUUUCCUUGUGGAUUCAGAAUGGAGCAUGGACCACAAUUCUCAGAAGCGACUUCUAGAGAGACUGUCCUUGGACUCAAACUGUAAUUUUUUCCUGAGCCCCCAGCCUGAUGGCCUCCCGCAUCAGAUGUUGGACUCACCAAGCCUCCACAAUUAUAUGAGCCCAUUCUCUAAAGGUCUUGCUGUCCACUCCAGGCUGGAGUGCAGUGGUGCAAUCUCAGCUUACUACGGCCUCCACCUCCUGGGCUCAAGCAAUCCUCCCACCUCAGCCUCCUGAGUAGCUGAGACUACAGACAUGUCCUGCCAUACCCAGUCUUUUUUUUUUUCCAUUUUUUGUAGCGACAGGAUCUUGCUGUUUCCCGAACUCAUCUAGAACACCUGGGCUGAAGCAACCCUCCCUCCUCAGCCUCCCAAAGCACUUGGAUUACAGGCUUGAGCCACUGUGCCUGGCCAGGAAUAAAUUUCUAACCCAUCCCAUGACUCCCAGCAGAAGGAAAGUCUAAAUUUAGCCAUAGUUUCAGAAACAAUGCCCUUACAUGACGUGAAAUAAACAGGUCUUUAAGAGAGAGGUGCCAGCUCCUCGUUCGUGGAUGCAUUUGUCCACCUAGGAAUAGACACACGCUGCACAUUUCCUGCAUGCUGGGCUCUGUAAGGAGGAAGGGAGAGGCCCCUGCUUGGAGAAGCUUUCCAUCCAACAGAUGUGGAUGCUACCUAUGCCACCAGUGUCAAACAUAACUUCAGGAUCACAGAAGAGGCCGAGAGUGCUAAAAGGUCACGCUGGAAUGAAGCAUAUGAGGUAAUAUUAAGAGAAGUAGCGAGAGUCGGUGCUAGGGUCUGAAUGUCUGUGUCUCUCCCGAAAUUCAGACAUUGAAACCUAAUCCUCAAGGUGAUGGUAUUAGGAAGUGGGGAAUUUGGGAGGUGAUUAAGUCAUGAGGGCAGGGGUCUUGUGAAUGGGAUGAGCAUCCUUAUAAAAGAGACCCCAGAGAGCUGCCUGGUCCCUUCCACCAGGUGAGAACAUAGCAAGAAGCUACCAUCUGUGCACCAGGAAAUGGGCCCUCACAAGACAUCAAAUCUGCCAGCCACCUCAAUGGUGGGCUUUCCAGCCUCCAGAACUGUGAGAAAUAAAUUUCUGUUUUUAUAAGCCACCUGGUUUAUGGUAUUUUGUUACAGCAACCUAAACAGACUAAGACAAUUGGCAAGAUCAGAUGUAUUUGGCAAAGAUUUGCAUAGACUAGAGUCCCGCUGUGUGGCUGGAGCAAGGGAAGCUUGCGCUGUGCCUCAGGUUGAUCCAGUCCUUACCUUGUGGCCUUGCCCGAUCCUCACAGCACCCCUCGGUGGUGAGAAUGAUUAUCUCCAUUCUAUGGAUGAGGAUAUGGAUAACCAGAGAGGUUAAGUGAACAGCCUCAGAUCACACAGCCAAUUCAAGUCAGGGCUGCUGCAGAGAGCCUGAAACAGGGGGAUCCUGGGAGGGAAGGAAGAGCAUGCAUCCUCUCACCCAAAACAGAUGUCUGGCUGAGUUCCAAAAGCAAAAGUACUCUGAGUGGGUCCCACCCCUGAUGGGGAAGGCAGCCCCCUGGCCACCAGCCUGGGGAGGCCACACAGUUGCUGCUAUCCCAUGGGCAGCUGGCCCCUUCCUCCCACAAACAGCAGCACCUGCUCACCAGAUCACCAGGCAGAGGCAAGAUGAAUGUUCGCAGCACCACGUCCUGCUGAAGCUCUACACAAACACAGCACCCAUGGCAACCAAACAGAGGGCAAACACAGGAGCAGGAAUGCCGCUGUGAGAACAAGGCCCAGGAGUGACAGCCACGAGCCACCCACUUUAUGGGCACUUACUAAGUGCCAGGCGCCACAUCAAGGAUUAAAUACCUUAUUUAAUCAUCGAUGCAGCCUGAUGAGGAAUGUGCCAUUGCUGCCCGCUUUAACAACAACGAAACAGACAUGAGCAGAGUUGAUGGAAGCUGUGUAAGGAGAGAACCAAAGGCUCUGUCUGAGCCCGGGUGUCUGAUGCCACAACCCAGCCACAAUCUCCAUGCUACCAUUUCCCCUGACAGACACCGAAGUAACACAGCCCCUCGGGAGAGCUGGGCCCCCAAGUUAGGGACAGGUAAAUGGCGACACAGAAUAUAAGCUCCUCCAAGGCAGGAAUUUUGUGUUUUGCUCAUUGAUGGGAAGCAAGCUUCUACAAUAGUGCCAGGCAGGUGGAUGACUUUGAAUAAGUAUUUGUUGGCCAGGGGCGGUGGCUCACACUUGAAAUCCUUGCACUUUGGGAGGCUGAGGCAGGUGGGUUGCUUGAGCCCAGGGGAUUGAGACCAGCCUGGGCAGCAUGGUGAAACCCUGUCUCUACAAAAAAUACACACAAAAAAAUUAACCAAGCAUGGUGGCGGUUGCCUGUAGUCCCAGCUGCUUGGGAGUCU
rnacentral:lncRNA from 1 species